CGAACGGGUGAGUAACGCGUGAGGAACCUGCCUCAAAGAGGGGGACAACAGUUGGAAACGACUGCUAAUACCGCAUAAGCCCACGGCUCGGCAUCGAGCAGAGGGAAAAGGAGUGAUCCGCUUUGAGAUGGCCUCGCGUCCGAUUAGCUAGUUGGUGAGGUAACGGCCCACCAAGGCACGAUCGGUAGCCGGACUGAGAGGUUGAACGGCCACAUUGGGACUGAGACACGGCCCAG
rnacentral:rRNA from 1 species